rnacentral:rRNA from 1 species
UUCGUAAGCAACGACGAAGAACCUUACCAGGUUCUUGACAUCCCGAUUGCUUAUUUCUAGAGAUAGAAAGUUACUUCGGUACAUCGGUGACAGGUGGUGCAUGGUUGUCGUCAGCUCGUGUCGUGAGAUGUUGGGUUAAGUCCCGCAACGAGCGCAACCCCUAUUGUUAGUUGCCAUCAUUCAGUUGGGCACUCUAGCGAGACUGCCGGUAAUAAACCGAGGAAGGUGGGGAUGACGUCAAAUCAUCAUGCCCCUUAUGACCUGGGCUACACACGUGCUACAAUGGUUGGUACAACGAGUUGCGAGUCGGUGACGGCGAGCUAAUCUCUUAAAGCCAAUCUCAGUUCGGAUUGUAGGCUGCAACUCGCCUACAUGAAGUCGGAAUCGCUAGUAAUCGCGGAUCAGCACGCCGCGGUGAAUACGUUCCCGGGCCUU